rnacentral:lncRNA from 1 species
UCUGAUAUGGUUAGUACAUAUACUUUCCCCCCGUACUAAUUAGUAAUUACUACUUGGCUAAGCUAAUUACAUCAAUGUAGACAAUCGAGCUUCAAACUCAGAAAGACACUUUUGUCUUUCAUUUUUUUUUUCCAUACAUUUUUGCUCUUUUGUACUAAUCUGAACAAAACAUAGAAAGAAAAAUAAAAAAGGUCAUGUAUUUUAUGGCCAGUCAGGGAUGUACAAAGUCUUCAUUUACACCCUAGAACGUGAUCUUGGAGAUAGUGAUGUGACGGUGCUCACAAUCCAAGAAUUGUAUUCUUCAGCUAAAGAAGGAGAAGAUUUGACAUGA